rnacentral:pre_miRNA from 1 species
UAUAAGGGAUUUUGAGUUUUUGCUUUUAACAUUUGAUCACUCGUCUUAUUCAAAUUUUUUUAAAAUUAUUAUUUAUUUUAUUUGUGACUUACUUUAUUAUCUACCGUACUUUAAAUGCAACUUUUCGUUUUUUAUAUUUGCAAAAAAAAAUUGAAUAAGACGAGUGGUCAAACGUUGCAAAUAAAAACUCAAAAUCCCUUAUA